CUCCUUUUGCUUUUCCAUGUAUGCUUAAAAUAUUAUGACAGCCAACACAAAGAAAAAAACAGAGAAUGAAAUUGAAAAAGCAGGAGAUAGAGAAUUAUACCUUUAGAUGUCUAAAAAGAAUGAGAUGGAUGACACAAAAGUAUCGACCAUUAAGGGAAAAUGGUAAGCUCCUCCCAAUAAACUCAUCAUAAUGAGUGAACUCUUUACAAAUUUAACAACAUACUAAGUAAAUAGAAUGGCUCAAUACAAAAAAAAAUAUGAAUUAAAUCUCAAAAUAUGCUGUUCCAAACGUAGUAUAAUUUCUCUAAAAAAUGGUGCUUCUGAUGAGCAGUGUGAAAAACAGUGAUCCAAUAGCAGCAAAAAUAGAGAUAGGCAAUUUCCCAGAAGAUGAUUGAUUAGCAGAUUGGACAGGAAUCGAGCCAAAAACAGUAGGGUAAGCAGGCGAAUCUGCAGAUGGAGCAAAAGCAGGUGAAUCUUCUUCAUAUGUUGUUCCAUUUCCUCCUGGUAUUGAAAUAUGAAGUUUCUGUGACUUUUCACAGUGUCCUUCUGCUCCACUUGUGAAGUAAAAUUCCCCAGGUUUUGUAAUGUUGAAUAGAGAAUUUCCAUUGUUCAUAUACAAGAUUGGAUUUUUAAGGUUGCAACUAUUGUAAUUCGCUUUCGUCACUUGUAUUACUGAAUCCUCACUAGGUGGGUACAAAAACAUGAUUGGAUCUCCAAUUUUGAAGACAUGAUUCUUGGACCAUUUGGUAUAGACAUCUUUAUUUGCAGAAGAGGGCUGCAAAAAAAAAGAAGAUUAAUUCAAGAGCCAAAUUGAUGGGGUUGAAUAUUUUAUUAGAGGGUAUGUAGGAAUAGGAAAAUCUUGAAGAUCUAAGCAAGAAAUGGGAGGCUUACUGAUUGAAUCUUCAAUUUUGAAGACAUGAUUCUUGGACCAUUUGGUAUAGACAUCUUUAUUUGCAGAAGAGGGUACAUUCCAAGCACUUAAAUCUCCAACUUUGUACUGAUAACACAACACUUUGGUUUGUAUUAAUAGAAAGAACUGAAAAAGAAUGUACAAAGAAUGGUACUUUCUUGGAAUACUAAGAGUAGCCAUAACUUGCGCAACUUUGUCUCUCUUCGCUCUUUGUUUCCUUUUUG
rnacentral:lncRNA from 1 species